CAGUCGCCACGGUAAUACGGAGGGAGCUAGCGUUAUUCGGAAUUACUGGGCGUAAAGCGCACGUAGGCGGCUUUGUAAGUUAGAGGUGAAAGCCUGGAGCUCAACUCCAGAAUUGCCUUUAAGACUGCAUCGCUUGAAUCCAGGAGAGGUGAGUGGAAUUCCGAGUGUAGAGGUGAAAUUCGUAGAUAUUCGGAAGAACACCAGUGGCGAAGGCGGCUCACUGGACUGGUAUUGACGCUGAGGUGCGAAAGCGUGGGGAGCAAACAGGAUUAGAUACCCCUGUAGUCCCUGUCUCUUAUAC
rnacentral:rRNA from 1 species